UGUGAGAAGCCCAAGUCACAUGGACAAGC
rnacentral:piRNA from 1 species